rnacentral:lncRNA from 1 species
UGUACUAACUAGACUUAAAAGAUUCGUCUCGUCAAUUUCGACCAAACUGUGCAAUUAGUUUUUAUUUUUGUCUAUAUUUAAUACUUCAUGCAUGCGUCUAAAAAUUUAAUGUGACGGGGAAUCUGAAAAAUUUUGCAAAAUUUUUUGAGCGCAUACUACUCCACCAGGCGUUUACUGCUAGUAAUGACUGUCUUACCCACUCGCGUCAAAUUCUCAGCCAUUUCCCUUUCUCUUCAUGUUUACUCGCUCAUGCAUGGCUACUGUUGUUGGCUUCAUGUUUUACGCUUGGAAGUUAUAUGAAGCAGGCUGGUUGACUUUUGGCAACACUAUUAUCAGUUGAUGUAGCGAUGUUUUUUUUUUUAUUUUGAAAUUUAUUAUCUUUUUUUAUAUAGGCUCUGAAUUAGACAAAUGAUAUAUUCAUUUUAAUUAUCUCAACAAGCUCCUCACAAUGGUUUACUUUAUUUUAACAUUUGAGAAUUUUUUUUAUCAUGGUGAAUAUUUCAAUUACUAUUCAAGUCCUUUUCGCACCAAUUCGUAUAUCGUAAGUGCCCAUAUAUUAUCUUUUCACGCAUAUUUUUAUAUCCUAUAUAAUAACUAGAUCACCAAAAUUUGUGAAACUUACUAAAUUAAGACAUAUCUUGCAAUGAUGCAUUAUGAUUGUAUUUAUUUGUAUAUGUGAUAAAAUAUAUGUUCCUAAUUAUCUAUUACAUAUAAUUAUAUUACACCGGUUUAAAAUAUUUGUGAGCAAUUCAAUUUGUCCGGUCCAAAGUAAUCGAACCAACGGUUCAACCGGUUCUUAACGGUGGACCAGUGAACCGAUGACCUCGCCGGUUCGAUUUUCGGUCCGGUCCUAAUAACUAUGCUUCGAUGGGAAUGGCCUGGCUGAGAUUCAAACUGUGGUUGUUGCCUUUGCGUGAGGAUAACUGGCAAGCGUGGAGAGGUGGGGUGAGAAGGCGAGUGAGAAGCUCGGCUUCCCACUUCCAAUCAUGACCAUCAAAUUUGAUGUAUGUGUUUUAUUAGCCUUUGAUUUUGAUAGAGAUGGAUUUUUGUGUGCAUUAUUCUAGGUGUAUAAUGGUUGAGGGUAGACUAAGUAUAAUUUAUUUGUUUCAUUAUAGUAGAGAAGAUAAGGAAACAAUCGGAGAUUAGAAAAAUCAUUAAAUUUUAAAUUUAAAAAGCUACGCACACAUGUAGUGUGCUCUUGUUCACCUGAUUAAGAACCUGGGAAGACACAGAUAGAAGUAUAGGAAGACCAAUUCAUCAUUCAGUUCAAUAUAAUCCGUAUAGGUAGAUAGCUAACCACGCUUACCGCGUGGUGCCACCCGUGUCCAGGAACGGGGUUAUGAACUGCUUUGCUCUUACUUACGUAACCGGUAUGGUACAACUGUACAAGAGAAGGUCGAAGUAUUUUUUUUUCAAAGUACUAUUAUAUAUAUUGUGUAAAUAUACGCGCGAGCGCAUGCUUCCAUAGACACAUGGGCCUUAGAGUGACGGGCCUAGAAUACAGCCCACGUCGUGAAACAACCAGCCACGACCCGAGUAACACUCGACGGGCCCGCACGCACCAGCAACAAGUCCAGCACCACAGCUCCCCUAUCGCGGACGCGGCCGGCCA